CCUACGGGAGGCAGCAGUGAGGAAUUUUCCGCAAUGGGCGAAAGCCUGACGGAGCAAUACCGCGUGAGGGAUGAAGGAUUUUGGUCUGUAAACCUCUUUUCUCAAGAAAGAAGUUCUGACGGUACUUGAGGAAUAAGCAUCGGCUAACUCCGUGCCAGCAGCCGCGGUAAUACGGGGGAUGCAAGCGUUAUCCGGAAUGAUUGGGCGUAAAGCGCCUGUAGGUUGUUUAUUAAGUCCGUUGUUAAAGCCUAGGGCUCAACCCUAGAAAAGCAAUGGAAACUAGUAGACUAGAGUAUGGCAGGGGUAGAGGGAAUUUCUAGUGUAGCGGUGAAAUGCGUAGAUAUUAGAAAGAACACCGGUGGCGAAAGCGCUCUACUGGACCAUUACUGACACUCAGAGGCGAAAGCUAGGGUAGCAAAAGGGAUUAGAUACCCCUGUAGUCCUAGCCGUAAACGAUGGAUACUAGAUGUUGUGCAUUAUGUAANAGUAUACGUAGUACUAACGUACGUUAAGUUAACUACCGUCCGUCGGGUAGGUACGUCGUCGCGAAGGUAGGAAACGUAACAAAUAAGUAAGUUAGUACGGACGUGAGACGUACGCCGAACGGACGACGAACGAAGGGAAGGUAAGG
rnacentral:rRNA from 1 species